AGUCUAGGUCCAGCAUCAGUUUAUUGGAGGGUCCCAGCUGAUACAAGAACACCAUCAGACCGAUCCCUCCGGGAAGCGCUGCUGGGGGAAAUCUCGGCAAUAGGACCACUUCAACGAUAUCGUAAACGGUCCAGUAUUGGUGUAAUGAGGGGGAUCGGAUCCAGAUGGUGCAAUACAGGAGCACCAUCAGACCCAUCCCUCUGGGAAGCGCUGCUGGGGGAAAUCUCGGCAAUAGGACCACUUCAACGAUACCAUAACCGACAUCACGCCUGGGAGAGGGGGAAUGACGAC